GUGUCAGCAGCCGCGGUAAUACGUAGGGCGCAAGCGUUGUCCGGAAUUAUUGGGCGUAAAGAGCUCGUAGGCGGUCUGUCGCGUCGGCUGUGAAAACCCGAGGCUCAACCUCGGGCCUGCAGUCGAUACGGGCAGACUAGAGUGCUGUAGGGGAGACUGGAAUUCCUGGUGUAGCGGUGAAAUGCGCAGAUAUCAGGAGGAACACCGGUGGCGAAGGCGGGUCUCUGGGCAGUAACUGACGCUGAGGAGCGAAAGCGUGGGGAGCAAACAGGAUUAGAUACCCCGGUAGUCC
rnacentral:rRNA from 1 species